GUGGGGAAUAUUGGACAAUGGGCGCAAGCCUGAUCCAGCAACGCCGCGUGAGGGAUGACGGCCUUCGGGUUGUAAACCUCUUUCAGCAGGGACGAAGCGAAAGUGACGGUACCUGCAGAAGAAGGACCGGCCAACUACGUGCCAGCAGCCGCGGUAAUACGUAGGGUCCGAGCGUUGUCCGGAAUUAUUGGGCGUAAAGGGCUCGUAGGCGGUCUGUCGCGUCGGGAGUGAAAACUCAGGGCUCAACCCUGAGCGUGCUUCCGAUACGGGCAGACUAGAGGUAUGCAGGGGAGAACGGAAUUCCUGGUGUAGCGGUGGAAUGCGCAGAUAUCAGGAGGAACACCGGUGGCGAAGGCAGAUCUCUGGGCCGUAACUGACGCUGAGGAGCGAAAGCGUGGGGAGCGAACAGGAUUAGAAACCCCGGUAGUCC
rnacentral:rRNA from 1 species